rnacentral:rRNA from 1 species
AGUGAACGCUGGCGGUAGGCCUAACACAUGCAAGUCGAACGGCAGCACAGUAAGAGCUUGCUCUUACGGGUGGCGAGUGGCGGACGGGUGAGGAAUACAUCGGAAUCUACUUUUUCGUGGGGGAUAACGUAGGGAAACUUACGCUAAUACCGCAUACGACCUACGGGUGAAAGCAGGGGAUCUUCGGACCUUGCGCGAUUGAAUGCGCCGAUGUCGGAUUAGCUAGUUGGCGGGGUAAAGGCCCACCAAGGCGACGAUCCGUAGCUGGUCUGAGAGGAUGGUAGGCGACACUGGAACGUAGACACGGUCCAGACUCCUACGGGAGGCAGCAGUGUGGAAUAUUGGACAAUGGGCGCAAGCCUGAUCCAGCCAUACCGCGUGGGUGAAGAAGGCCUUCGGGUUGUAAAGCCCUUUUGUUGGGAAAGAAAAGCAGCAGGUUAAUACCCCGCUGUUCUGACGGUACCCAAAGAAUAAGCACCGGCUAACUUCGUG